rnacentral:lncRNA from 1 species
AAGCAAACAGAGUUCAAAUGUUGCCUAACAGAUGAUGAAAUGUGUGAAAAGAUUAGAAUCCUGUAGAUUUGCAUUGAAGGAGAGAUCCAGAUAGUUUUACAGACACCAAUAUAGAGACGUGGGGAGAGGAGUUGCUCUUUUGGACUUGAGACAAAAGCCCUAGCAACCAUCCAAAACUCCCUACUAACCACAUGGCAGCACCCUGGCAACCACCCACAACAAAACCAUUGCACGCUUCAUUUCUCAUGUGUGCUCAUGUAGGACAACAACAACCUACAUUCAUUUAUUCCUCAAGCACACAAAAGAUCAUCCAUCUGUGGAAGUGGGCCGAAUGAAGAUAGAGCUUUUUGCAGACAUUGUUCCGAAGACUGCGGAAAAUUUUCGGCAGUUCUGUACUGGUGAAUUCAAGUAAGUCAGAUUUCAGUGAAUUUAAGGGAUAGUUCACCCAAAAAUGAAUUUGCAGUCAAUUGACGUAGGUGACUUAUUUAUUUAUUUUUUCUCUUCAUUACAACA